ensembl:lncRNA
GACUCCCUGCAGCUGCUGCUGCUGCUGCCUGGAGAGAAUAAAGAUAUCUUCACCCAGCAAGUAGGGGAGUCUGAGGCUCCAAUGGAAGGAGGAAGCCAGUGGCCAACACAGAGCAUGUGGUACCUGGUGGCCAUUGUCCUCUUUGCGUGGGCUUCGAUGGAAGACUGGGAGGCGGUGAAUGGGUCCCCGGAUAAUAUUGAAAAGACAUUUGAAAGGUGAGCUCUCCCUUUCCAGGUAAAAAAGUAUAUGUGCACUGGUGCUAACGUAGUGAGGUGGAUUUUAUUGACUGCUUUGAAGGCGAACAUAGAGAAUGCUCUUCCUGAUGCUGUGUGAGCACACAGAGUAUUGAAAAAGCCUUACAAGUGGCGAGCUCUUGCUUGCAGGAUAAAGCAGCAUGCAUGGCCACUGACACCAUGGGGUGGAUUUUGUUGACUGCCUUGAAGGUGAACAUGGAGAAUGCUUUCUGUGAUGCUGUGAGAGUGCACAAAGAGUAUUGUAAAGGCGUUACAAGUGGCAAACUUUUGCUUGCUGGAUAAAGCGGUGUGCACUACCACUGACACUAUGGGGUGGAUUUUAUUGCCUGUGUUUGGCUCUCUGUGAUGCUGCGCAAGUGUGCAAACUGCAGAGAUGCGCAGAGGAACUAGAGCAACAGGUACUGAUGCUAGAACAAGAGCUGCAUGACCUUGGGGACUAUGAUGUCUCAAACUAUGAGAUUACAGAAUGUCAGGCAACUCAUGCAGGGUGCGCCUCAUCUAACGCACAGUCUGAUGAAAUGGAUCAAUGCUGCCAUCUACACGGUGUGGAUGAAAGCGGGAGAGUUCCUGGAUAUCAGCUAUGGAAGCAACUGAGACUGGAGCAGCAGUUUACUAAAUGUGAAAAGCGCCCACAACAUGAGGUACGGGGAGUUCAGAUAGAGGACUUUAUGCCAAUUGGAGAUGUCUCUGCUGAUGCCCUGUUCUGUUCUGAAUAGGGCUCAAGCCAAGGUACCCAUCCAGAGAGCC